GUGGGGCCGCCGCGCGUGCCCCGGGGGCGUGGCCGCGGUACGUGCGCUCUGUUCUCAUUGGCGCCGCACCCGGAAGAGCCUGUGGCGCCUGCGCGGUGUGGCCGCCGCGCUGCCCCGUUCCCUCAGGAGAUGGAGGCGGCAACGCGGCGGCGGCCGCGGGAAGAGGAGCGGCAGGAGCGGGAGCAGGACGAUGGUGGGCAGGUGCUGUCACGAUCCCUGUCGGGACAGUCCUACUGGCUGGACCUAUGGCUCUUCAUCCUCUUUGACCUGGCGCUUUUCCUGCUUAUCUACCUGCUGCCCUGAGGGCGCGGCCCAGGGCCAUUGCCACCAAGGGAAUUCUGGCCUAUUUCGCACCUUAUGAACACAGGAUGGAAGAGGAGGACCAUUGUGCGGGAUAAGCAGCUGGGAACACGGCUGCACUUGAGGCUCGAUGGAGGAGGCACAUUUUUAUACCGUACCGUGAUAGAUCUCUGCGUGUCACAAGUGUUACUGCUCAGCUUUUACCCGUAUCCCGUUCAUGGCUCCUGAACUGUGCCUUAAGGGUCACGACAGAAUGACUGUGCUUUUGUGAUUAGUACCUAAAGAAUUGCAGAAAUGGAAGUAUGUGGUGUUUAAAUAAAAUCCACUGAAAGGACACCCCGCAGCAUGGCUGAGAAUAAAACACAGCUCUUCUGUACACUGAAGUUGUAACUCAGACCUGUUCCCUCAAGGUGAAGCUAACCAGCUGUUCUACUUCCAGAAAGUUAAUCCUUGAUGCUCAUUUGUUUUCUAUUAUUCUUUUCUCUGUUUUUUCUUUCUUUACCUUCAGCAGGUUCUGAGCCCUCUCAGGCUCAGUAUUUACAGAUAUAAAUAUAUACUUGUAUAAACAUGUCAGUGUUCUAACCCA